rnacentral:rRNA from 1 species
GACGAACGCUGGCGGCGUGCCUAACACAUGCAAGUCGAACGGAAGUAAGAGCUUCGGUUUUACUUAGUGGCGAACGGGUGAGUAACGCGUGAGGAACCUGCCUUUCAGUGGGGGACAACACUUCGAAAGAGGUGCUAAUACCGAAUGACGUAUCCAUUCCGCAUGGAGAGGAUACCAAAGGCCGGGCAACCGGUCACUGAAGGAUGGGCCUGCGUCUGAUUAGCUAGUUGGUGGGGUAACGGCUCACCAAGGCGACGAUCAGUAGCCGGUCUGAGAGGAUGAACGGCCACAUUGGGACUGAGACACGGCCCAG